rnacentral:rRNA from 1 species
CGUAUGGUGCAAGCGUUGUUCGGAUUUACUGGGCGUAAAGCGCGUGCAGGUGGAUCAUUAAGUCAGGUGUGAAAUCUUCGAGCUCAACUCGAAGACUGCACUUGAAACUAACGACCUAGAGUCCCGGAGAGGCAGGCAGAAUUCCUGGUGUAGCGGUGAAAUGCGUAGAUAUCAGGAGGAAUACCAAUGGCGAAGGCAGCCUGCUGGACGGUGACUGACACUCAUACGCGAAAGCGUGGGGAGCAAACAGGAUUAGAUACCCUGGUAGUCCACGCCCUAAACGUUGUCGACCAGACGUCGGAGGUAUCUAUCCCUUCGGUGUCGAACCUAACGGAUUAAGUCGACCGCCUGGGGACUAUGCUCGCAAGAGUG